rnacentral:rRNA from 1 species
UACGUAGGGUGCAAGCGUUGUCCGGAAUUAUUGGGCGUAAAGAGUGUGUAGGCGGUGCUCUAAGUUUGGUGUGAAAUCUCCCGGCUCAACUGGGAGGGUGCAUCGAAAACUGGAGUGCUCGAGGGUGGGAGAGGUAAGCGGAAUUCCUGGUGUAGCGGUGAAAUGCGUAGAUAUCAGAGGAACACCUGUGGUGUAGACAGCUUACUGGACCACUUCUGACGCUGAGACACGAAAGCGUGGGUAGCAAACAGG